AUGAAUAAAUUCGUGUUGAGGAAAGAUACUGCUACCAAUUCUGUUCAAUUAUAUAUCACCAAUGGCGAACAACCAGAUCAGACUGAGAAUGCAGUUGAGGAAAAUCGUGCCGAUGUUGAUGCCAAUCAGAACACCGGAAAUUUUAGUGGCCAUGGAAACAUAGAUGAGCAGGCUUCUUCUUUUGAUAUUUGUGAUCCUAGAACUUGGAAUAUUCUUUACAAUAAAUUAAGAGAUAUUCUCAUUGAGAAAGGACCUACAAGGGAGUAGAAUCUUGUGUUUCCUGUGGAUAAGAAAGGCAUGCAUUUUUCGCAUGCUUACUACUCAAGACAGCUAAGGAAUGGUGAGUAG
rnacentral:rRNA from 1 species